rnacentral:rRNA from 1 species
GUGCCUAUACAUGCAAGUCGAGCGAACGGACGAGAAGCUUGCUUCUCUGAUGUUAGCGGCGGACGGGUGAGUAACACGUGGAUAACCUACCUAUAAGACUGGGAUAACUUCGGGAAACCGGAGCUAAUACCGGAUAAUAUUUUGAACCGCAUGGUUCAAAAGUGAAAGACGGUCUUGCUGUCACUUAUAGAUGGAUCCGCGCUGCAUUAGCUAGUUGGUAAGGUAACGGCUUACCAAGGCAACGAUGCAUAGCCGACCUGAGAGGGUGAUCGGCCACACUGGAACUGAGACACGGUCCAGACUCCUACGGGAGGCAGCAGUAGGGAAUCUUCCGCAAUGGGCGAAAGCCUGACGGAGCAACGCCGCGUGAGUGAUGAAGGUCUUCGGAUCGUAAAACUCUGUUAUUAGGGAAGAACAUAUGUGUAAGUAACUGUGCACAUCUUGACGGUACCUAAUCAGAAAGCCACGGCUAACUACGUGCCAGCAGCCGCGGUAAUACGUAGGUGGCAAGCGUUAUCCGGAAUUAUUGGGCGUAAAGCGCGCGUAGGCGGUUUUUUAAGUCUGAUGUGAAAGCCCACGGCUCAACCGUGGAGGGUCAUUGGAAACUGGAAAACUUGAGUGCAGAAGAGGAAAGUGGAAUUCCAUGUGUAGCGGUGAUAUGCGCAGAGAUAUGGAGGUACACCAGUGGCGAAGGCGACUUUCUGGUCUGU